rnacentral:rRNA from 1 species
AUUGAACGCUGGCGGCAGGCCUAACACAUGCAAGUCGAGCGAGCGGCGGACGGGUGAGUAAUGUCUGGGAAACUGCCUGCUGGAGGGGGAUAACUACUGGAAACGGUAGCUAAUACCGCAUACCAUCAGAUGUGCCCCGAUGGGAUUUGCUAGGAGGUGGGGUAACGGCUCACCUAGGCGACGCUCCCUAGCUGGUCUGCGAGGAUGACCAGCCACACUGGAACGGAGACACGGCCCAGACUCCUACGGGAGGCAGCAGUGGGGAAUAUGGCACAAGGGGAGCAAGCCUGAUGCAGCCAUGCCGCGUGUAUGAAGAAGGCCUUCGGGUUGUAAAGUACUUUCAGCGGGGAGGCGUUACCCGCAGAAGAAGCACCGGCUAACUCCGUGCCAGCAGCCGCGGUAAUAC